rnacentral:rRNA from 1 species
CCUGUCCUUGACAUACUAAGAACUUUCCAGAGAUGGAUUGGUGCCUUCGGGAACUUAGAUACAGGUGCUGCAUGGCUGUCGUCAGCUCGUGUCGUGAGAUGUUGGGUUAAGUCCCGCAACGAGCGCACCCCUUUUCCUUAUUUGCCAGCGGGUAAUCCCGGGAACUUUAAGGAUACUGCCAGUGACAAACUGGAGGAAGGCGGGGAUGACGUCAAGUCAUCAUGGCCCUUACGGCCAGGGCUACACACGUGCUACAAUGGUCGGUACAAAGGGUUGCUACCUCGCGAGAGGAUGCUAAUCUCAAAAAGCCGAUUGUAGUCCGGAUCGCAGUCUGCAACUCGACUGCGUGAAGUCGGAAUCGCUAGUAAUCGCGGAUCAGAAUGCCGCGGUGAAUACGUUCCCGGGCCUUGUACACACCGCCCGUCACACCAUGGGAGUUUGUUGCACCAGAAGUAGGUAGUCUAACCGCAAGGAGGACG